GGACUGGUCUACUCUGGUGACCAGUCUAGCAAAUAGCCUAACUGUCAUCAUAAAGCCUUUGUCCAGUGACUGAUGGAGGCAGAUUCAGAGAUCCAUGGCCAGGCACCAGGCUGAGCUCUGGAAAUCCAAUUGAUGAGAGAGAGAAGGGAUUCUGCAGGCAGGGGACAUCAAGAUCAUGACGGGAAGACAUGCAGAGAUGACUGGCCACACUAGUGGAAGCCCAUGAACUGUAGACUAGUGGCUGUGGAGCCCCCACGGGACUGGACUAGGCCCUCUGGAUAUGGAAGACGGUUGUUUGGCUCAAACUGUUUGGGGGGCACCCAGCCCAUUCAGGAGGGAAUCCUGCACCACAAUCUGGCUGUUUACGUGCUAAGCAAGGAUUUCUACAAAGACUAAACAAGCCCAUUCAGGAGGGAAUCCUGCACCACAAUCUGGCUGUUUACGUGCUAAGCAAGGAUUUCUACAAAGACUAAACAAGGUAAUAACAUGAAGACAAAAAUUAAACCUGGUGGAUAGUUUUUGUUAUUUGCUG